ACACACACACACACACACACACACGUUUCAGCCUCUCCCGGUUCUCCUCUCCUUCCCGCCACGGAGAGAGGAGGAGGCUAUUUCAGCCACUGGGACCCGCAAACUCACACAGAAAAAUCCUUGUGAGAUAAAAUUGCUCCAUUCGGAGGCGGUGCGGGGCUGGAGUGUGUUUUUGUGUGUGUGUGUGUGUGUGUGUGUGU